AGUGAACGCUGGCGGUAGGCCUAACACAUGCAAGUCGAACGGCAGCACAGUAAGAGCUUGCUCUUACGGGUGGCGAGUGGCGGACGGGUGCGGAAUACAUCGGAAUCUACUUUUUCGUGGGGGAUAACGUAGGGAAACUUACGCUAAUACCGCAGACGACCUACGGGUGAAAGCAGGGGAUCUUCGGACCUUGCGCGAUUGAAUGAGCCGAUGUCGGAUUAGCUAGUUGGCGGGGUAAAGGCCCACCAAGGCGACGAUCCGUAGCUGGUCUGAGAGGAUGAUCAGCCACACUGGAACUGAGACACGGUCCAGACUCCUACGGGAGGCAGCAGUGGGGAAUAUUGGACAAUGGGCGCAAGCCUGAUCCAGCCAUACCGCGUGGGUGAAGAAGGCCUUCGGGUUGUAAAGCCCUUUUGUUGGGAAAGAAAAGCAGCAGGUUAAUACCCCGCUGUUCUGACGGUACCCAAAGAAUAAGCACCGGCUAACUUCGUG
rnacentral:rRNA from 1 species